rnacentral:lncRNA from 1 species
AGCCAAGACCAAGGCCUCUCCUAGAAGCUGACUCGGUCAAGCCCAGCAGGUAACCGGCGCUCGCGUGACCGGCUUGGCCCAUCUACCGGACGUGCCCCUCUUAAGCAAAAACUAAGGCUAACUUGAGGGGAUAAGGAGGGUAAAAGAAUAUUUUGUCCGUCUAUCUUCUUCCUAUCCGCUACUCUGUAUCUCCGCUUUCCCCUCUUCUCAUCUACAGAACUAUGUGUUAUUGUGACUGAAUCCUUUGUGUGACACAAAGCGAUUGCUACUAAUCUCUGUGGGUUCGUAGCAAUUGGAAUCAGAGCCACCGAUCUUUCGGCAUCAUUUCCCACCGAUUUUUUUUCCCAGCCACGACGGGGAAAUCUGCGCGCCCAACGUUGACGGACAGGAUGGGGGCGGCAGAGCUGACCAUCUCUGAGCUGCAGAAAUUGAUCCAAGCGACGGUGAUUCAGAGCAAGGCCGUCUCCGACGCGGGGGUCCGCAACUCCAAGCGGAUCGACGAGCUCCGCACCACGGUCGACUCCUUCUCUGAAUCGACCACCAAGGCUCUCUCCGAUCUCACCAGCUCCACGGCGACGGCGACCCAGCGUGUCGAGACUACGCUGGACCGCAUAAUCACGGCCCACAACAAGCUCGACAAGACAGCCGACGAGUUGAAGUUGUCGAUGGAGGCGGUGGCGCGCCGCGUCGAUUUCCUCGAGCGGGGGCAGCCUCCUUCCACGACCCCGGCGCAGCCGCAUCAGCGACCGGGUGUGCUUCGGCCCCAUGGGCACCGUGAAGAACUGCAUCACCAGGGUGCUGUUUCUGGAGAGAUUCGAACCUCCGGACACGCCCUGGUCGGGGGUGAGCAAUCGCAAACCCGUGACCACCUUACUUCUGCUAUGUAUGGUUCAGCAGAGAGAGAUGACGAUCGUACCACUGCAUAUCCGCAUCAGCCCUACAGUCAUAGUGGUCCGCGGUUGCCCAAAUCAGAUUUCCCAAAAUUCACUGGUGAUAAUCCCAAAUGGUGGAAGGAACAAUGCGAAAAGUAUUUUAAAAUGUACCAUGUUAAUCCUGAGUUGUGGGUGGAUUUUGCCACUAUGCAUUUCACCGGCAAUGCUUCCCUGUGGUUGCAAACUUUCGAAGCCAUGCAUUCAGUGGAUAGCUGGCCUGCCUUGUGUGUAGGAGUGUUUGCUAAGUUCAACAAAAAUCAGUAUGCUAAACUCAUGGACAUGUUUUUUGCAUUUCGGCAAGUUGCAUCAGUAGAUGAAUAUGCCCAUACAUUUGAAGAGUUCAUGCAUAAGAUUCUGGUUUACAAUCACUCCUAUGAUGAAACCUUCUUUGUGAACCGUUUCAUUGAUGGUCUUAAGCCAGACAUCAAGUCUGCUAUUAAAUUACACAAUCCUGGAACUGUUGAUCUGGCUUGUUCCCUUGCUCAAACACAGGAAGUGUUGUUGGUGGAAGAUACUCGUCCGUCCUUCAAGAAGGGGGAUUAUCGCCACAAAUUCAAGAUGAAUGCUCAGCUGCCAAGCAUUCUAGGAAACCCGGGUGAGAAGCGGACGGAUGACAGGAUCAAGUACAACACUAAGUUUGAUUCUCUCAAGGCCCAACGGCGUGCUCGUGGCGAAUGCUUUAAGUGCGGGGAAAAAUUCUCCCCAGGCCACAAGUGCCCCCCGCAGGUUCAGUUGCAUGUCCUUGAAGAACUGAUUACCUCUCUUGAUAUUUCUGAUGACGAAGAUGACAAUGGAUGGCCUGAAGAGCACACCCCUGACCCGGAUGAGGAUGACCAUGUCAUGAAGCUAUCUGUCCAUGCAGCAUGUGGGACACAGUGUAAGAAGAGUAUUCGGCUUCAGGGUUUCAUUGGCAAACAAGAAGUAUUGAUCCUGGUAGAUUCUGGAAGCUCCAGUAACUUCAUAAGCUCCAAAUUGGUUGACCGUUUACAGUGUACCACUGCUCCGUUUCCUGCUGCCAAAGUGACAGUUGCUGAUGGAGGAAGUCUUGACUGUAACAUGAUGGUGUCAUCUCUACAGUGGUGGACUCAAGGCACAUCAUUUACAUCCUCGCUGAAGGCACUUCCAUUAGGCACAUAUGACAUCAUCCUUGGUAUGGAGUGGCUUGAAGAGAUGAGCCCAAUGUGGGUAGAUUGGAAAAAGAAGACAUUACGGUUCACACAUAAUGGAGUUCGCAUCACUCUUCGAGGCAUUAAAGAUAAACCUGCCAGUUGCUCAGCUAUUUCUGCUAAACAGCUUCAGGGCUUGGUUAACAAUGGAGGUGUGGUGCAUAUGUUAGAAUUGUGUGCUGUGCAAGACGUAUUCGAGGCACCUGGCUCAUCCACCCCUCUACCACCAGCCAUUACCCGAGUUCUUUCUCAGCAUGAGGCUGUGUUUGAAGAUCCUCAGGUGUUGCCUCCUCACCGCAGUUUUGACCAUAACAUUCCACUGCUUCCAGGGGUGAAGCCUGUUAAUGUCAAGCCAUAUCGUUAUGCUCCUAUGCAGAAAACUGAGAUUGAGCGACAAGUGCGUGAAAUGCUCCAAAAGGGACUUAUACAGAAUAGCACUAGCUCAUUUGCAUCUCCGGUGUUGUUGGUGAAGAAGAAGGAUGGUUCAUGGCGUUUUUGUGUUGACUAUAGGCACCUCAAUAAUAUUACAGUUAAGAAUAAAUACCCAAUGCCAGUGAUCGAUGAGCUACUUGAUGAAUUGUCCGGUGCAAAUUGGUUUACCAAACUGGAUCUCAAAUCUGGGUACCAUCAAAUUCGGCUAGUGCUUGGUGAAGAACACAAGUCGGCUUUCAAAACACACCAAGGGUUGUAUGAAUUCAAGGUGAUGUCCUUUGGUCUCACAAACGCCCCUGCAACGUUUCAAGCUGCAAUGAACACAAUUUUUGUUUCCCUCAUUCGAAAAUGUGUUCUUGUCUUCAUGGAUGAUAUCUUAAUAUAUAGUCAUACACUUGAAGAUCAUGUGUGUCACUUGAAACAAGUGUUUGCUCUUCUCCACCAGCACCAGUUGUAUAUUAAGAAGAGUAAAUGUUCCUUUGCCCAAAAACAACUUGAGUACUUGGGUCACAUCAUCAGUCACAAAGGGGUCGCUACUGACCCUUCGAAGAUCCAAGCUGUCGCUCAGUGGCCUACACCGACAACUAUCAAGCAAGUUAGGGGGUUUCUUGGGUUAACGGGUUAUUACCGCAAGUUCAUAAAACAUUAUGGGAUCAUCAGUCGAGUAUUGUCAGAUUUGCUCCGUAAAGAUACCAUGUUUUAUUGGACAAACAAAGAAGAUGAAGCUUUUCAACAUUUGAAAUCAGCUCUUACUCAAGCCCCUGUCUUGGCUCUACCAAAUUUCAAAUUGCCAUUUGUUGUCGAAACAGAUGCAAGCAAGUAUGGUAUUGGUGCUGUACUGAUGCAACAAGGGCAUCCGAUCAGUUUUCUCAGCAAGGCUUUGGGACCCAAGACGCAAGGCUACUCCACUUAUGAGAAGGAGUGUCUUGCUAUCUUGAUGGCGGUGGAGAAAUGGCGUUCAUACCUCCAGCACGCUGAAUUCACCAUUUCCACUGAUCACCGUAGCUUAACUUACUUGUCUGAGCAAAAGCUUACUACUGACAUCCAACAAAAGGCUUUUCUGAAAUUAAUGGGACUCCAGUACAAGUUGGUUUACAAAAAAGGCCAUGAAAAUGCUGCUGCUGAUGCUCUUUCCCGUCAAGCAAUUCCUGAAUCAUGUCAUGCAAUUUCUCUCUGUCAGCCCAAGUGGUUGGAAGUAAUUGUGGAUGGCUACACAAAAGAUGAUACAACUAAAAAGUUGUUACAGGAGUUGAGUUUCACUGGAUCUAACUCUGCUGGCUACACGUUGGUGAAUGGUAUUAUCAGGCAUAAGGGACGCGUCUGGCUCGGUUCUAACACUGAGGCACAUCAAGCUAUUCUGCUCUCCUUGCAUGCAAGUGGCAUUGGUGGUCACUCUGGGUUCUUAGCAACUUACAAGCGCAUUAGUGCUCUGUUUGCAUGGCCUGGUAUGAAGACUGAUGUAAAAACAUAUGUGCAAAAUUGUACCAUAUGUCAGCAAGCCAAAUCUGAAACUGUGAAGUUGCCAGGUCUUCUGAAUCCAUUACCCAUCCCAGAUGAACCUUGGAGUUUGGUGAGCAUGGAUUUUGUGGAGGGCCUUCCCAAGUCUGGCUCAUAUAAUACCAUAUUGGUGGUGAUUGACAAGUACACUAAGUUCGGUCACUUCAUCCCUCUGGCUCAUCCCUACUCUGCUCUUCAAGUUGCUCAACUCUUUUACAACCACAUCUAUAAGUUACAUGGUCUGCCGUCCGGCAUUAUAUCUGAUCGGGAUAAGGUAUUUACCAGCAAUGUUUGGCAAUCUUUGUUCAAGAUGACGGAUGUGAAGAUGAAUAUGAGUUCGGCACACCAUCCCCAAACUGAUGGUCAGACCGAAAAGCUUAAUCAAUGUCUUGAGACCUUUCUCAGGUGUACGGUUCAUGCUUCGCCGACCAAAUGGUCUCAAUGGUUGCCUUCGGCUGAACAUUGGUACAACACUAAUUUUCACUCAGCGCUGGGCAAGUCUCCAUUCGAGGUGUUAUAUGGCUAUAAACCACGACAAUUGGGCAUUGCUCAUAUUCCAGAAUCCACACCAUCUGAUCUGGCGGGUUGGCUACAAGAAAGAGAAAUGAUGCAAGAACUUGUUAAGCAACACCUACUUCGAGCUCAGCACCGCAUGAAGCAACAAGAAGAUAAACAUCGUUCUGAUCGGGUGUUUCAGGUGGGAGAUUUUGUUUAUCUCAAGCUUCAACCAUAUGCACAAAUGUCUGUUGCUCGUCGUGCAAAUCACAAGUUGUCCUUCAAAUUUUAUGGUCCCUAUGAGGUGCUCGCUCGCGUGGGAAAGUCAGCCUACAAAUUGAAGCUUCCAACAAAUAGUCGUAUUCAUCCGGUGGUGCACGUCUCCCAGCUGAAGCCCUCUCUACCGGCAAAUCAGGUGCCUUCUGAUGCUUCUUUGCAUCUGCUUACGGAUGUUCCAGUUUCUAUUCAGCCGGGGCAGAUUCUUGAUUCUCGUUUGGUGCGAGCUGGUAAUGGCGCUCGUGCACAAGUGCUCGUUCAUUGGGCUGGCCUCUCAUCUAAUCUGAACUCCUGGGAAGACAAGAACGCACUCCAGCACCGGUUUCCUUCUACAGCAGCAUGGGGGCAUGCUGUGUCUCAAGGAGGAGGGCAUGCUACGCACCUUCCAUGUGGGCCAGCCAAGACCAAGGCCUCUCCUAGAAGCUGACUCGGUCAAGCCCAGCAGGUAACCGGCGCUCGCGUGACCGGCUUGGCCCAUCUACCGGACGUGCCCCUCUUAAGCAAAAACUAAGGCUAACCUGAGGGGAUAAGGAGGGUAAAAGAAUAUUUUGUCCGUCUAUCUUCUUCCUAUCCGCUACUCUGUAUCUCCGCUUUCCCCUCUUCUCAUCUACAGAACUAUGUGUUCUUGUGACUGAAUCCUUUGUGUGACACAAAGCGAUUGCUACUAAUCUCUGUGGGUUCAUAGCAGUGUACUCAUGGAAUUCGUCUAGUUCGAGGAGCUUGAGGUUCGGGAAGGUUGGCAGGAUGGCCCCGCCGUGCUCCUCCUCGCCGUAGAUGAUGUCGUUCAUGAAGUUGACGUGCAGCUUUAAGGCCCUUGUGUUGGAGAAGCUUACGAGCAUACGUGACGUGGGCUCCACUGCGACUGCUCUCCAUGGAGAGUGGCGUUGAGGUCGACGCUUGACAGGCCCGGCGCCGGCGAUGCCAACGACAGCUUGAUGGCGUCCCCCGUGUAGCGGAAGUACGCAGGCUCGGCAUGUCGAGCUCGAUGCCCGAUGCUGGCGAGCUCCUUGUUAACAUGUAUUAUUCCAUGUGUAUUUGUACCUGUGUAUACUCUCCUAGUAUAUAGGAUCGUGGGUGUUGCCUGGGCCUGCGUGCCACAUUCAUCGGGCCUUCUGUUGUAACUCACCCUGUAUAUGUUGUACCGAUGGCAAUAUGCCAAACACAGAGAAUAUUAUUGAGCCGUUCUCCUUCCAACUUGGUAUCAG